GUGAAUCAUCAAAUUUUUGAACGCAGAUUGCACUCUCUUCGGAUAGUAGGCCUGUUUGAGUUUCAGCCUAAAAAAUAUCGACAUAGUUGCUGUGACGCUGUAAGAUUCUUUGGAAUUUGGGUCAUCUUAAACCUUUGGGUUUAAGCGGCUUAAAAUUUUCUUUACGAUUCCAAGAACGUUUCUAAGAUUUUAUUUUCUUAUACGUUUAAGGUAUCGAACUUUAUUAGACUUUUCCGUUUCAUCGAGUCUCGUCCAUAAGUAUUUCUUUAACAUA
rnacentral:misc_RNA from 1 species